UACGGAGGAUGCAAGCGUUAUCCGGAAUGAUUGGGCGUAAAGCGUCCGCAGGUGGCUAUGUAAGUCUGCUGUUAAAGAGCAAAGCUUAACUUUGUAAAAGCAGUGGAAACUACAUAGCUAGAGUGCGUUCGGGGCAGAGGGAAUUCCUGGUGUAGCGGUGAAUGCGUAGAGAUCAGGAAGAACACCGGUGGCGAAGGCGCUCUGCUAGGCCGCAACUGACACUGAGGGACGAAAGCUAGGGGAGCGAAUGGG
rnacentral:rRNA from 1 species